rnacentral:tmRNA from 1 species
GGGGCUGUUUGGUUUUGACAGCAGGUAGAACUGAUAUGUAAGCAUGUCGAGCUUUGAGAAAACAGCUCGUAAAUCCAGGGUCUCAAAAUUAUAACUGGCGAAAAUAACUACGCUCUUGCUGCUUAAUCGAAUCAUAGUAGAUAAGCUUAAUUCAGGUACAAGGUACCAGAACGAGACAUUUCCCCAAGGCCGUCGCUCCGAGGCUAAAGAUAUGGAAAUGCAGCUAAAUCGGGGAUAGUCACGCUUAGCCUUGGAGGCGUGAUGAAACAAAAAGGAUAAGGCGCGGGUUGGUGGCUUCGGUCUUGCCCACGCACGAAAACCUAAGCGAAGAUAAACAUGUAGAAAGCUUAUUAUUUCCUUGUUUGGACGAGGGUUCGACUCCCUCCAGCUCCACCA